rnacentral:tRNA from 1 species
GGGGUUGUAGCUCAGUGGCAGAGCACUUGCCUCAAACAUAUGAGGCACAGAGUUCAAUCCUCAGCACCACA